rnacentral:ribozyme from 1 species
UGCCCAGAAACUCCUAUCCCUACCUCCUCGUGGUACUGACCGUGGUACGAGCAACCUUAGGGAAGAUCGGGUAACCCACCCCGGUGGGAACUUUGGUCGAAUGCUGACAGGAAAGA